rnacentral:rRNA from 1 species
UCAGGAUGAACGCUGGCGGUAUGCGUAACACAUGCAAGUCGAACGAAGUUUUUCGGAACUUAGUGGCGGACGGGUGAGUAACGCGUGAGAAUCUGCCUUAAGGAUUGGGACAACAGUGGGAAACCGCUGCUAAUACCAAAUAUGCCUUUUAGUGAAACGGGUAAAACCGCCUUAAGAUGAGCUCGCGUCUGAUUAGCUAGUAGGUGUGGUAAGAGCGCACCUAGGCGACGAUCAGUAGCUGGUCUGAGAGGACGACCAGCCACACUGGGACUGAGACACGGCCCAGACUCCUACGGGAGGCAGCAGUGAGGAAUUUUCCGCAAUGGGCGAAAGCCUGACGGAGCAAUACCGCGUGAGGGAGGAAGGUUCUUGGAUUGUAAACCUCUUUUCUCAGAGAAGAAUAAUGACGGUAUCUGAGGAAUAAGCAUCGGCUAACUCCGUGCCAGCAGCCGCGGUAAUACGGAGGAUGCAAGCGUUAUCCGGAAUGACUGGGCGUAAAGGGUCUGUAGGUGGUUGUUCAAGUCUGCUGUUAAAGCGUCUGGCUUAACCAGAUAAAGGCGGUGGAAACUGAACGACUAGAGUGCGGUAGGGGUAGAGGGAAUU